AUGUGGAUAUGUGCUACCAUUAACCCCAACUUUGAAAAAUUGUCUCUCUCAAUUUCCUACUACCAUGGGGAUACGGACAUGCUUUUGAACAACCUACAUCAGUGCCAAUCCAUUAUCACCAUCUGUAACCCAUCAAACCCAGUGCCAAACUCCCUUCGUUCGUUUCCAGCCGCAACACUGUCAACCAAAAAUACUUCCCUAAGAAAAAUUCAAAAGAAAAACAACACCAUGUCCCUUGAAGACUCUCUGAGAUCUCUUUCUUUUAGCUAA